GCUGUGAUCGUCCAGCGGUUAGGACUCUACGUUGUGGCCGUAGCAACCCAGGUUCGAAUCCUGGUCACAGCA
rnacentral:tRNA from 1 species